GGCAGCGUCACUGCGUACUGGGAUGUGCAGUCACGUGGGUACGCAGGUCACGUGGGUGCGUAGAUCACGUGGCGUGCCUCGGUCAGCUGAGGGUACGUGGGUGGGGCCGCACUCAGGGUAAGGAUUGGGCUGCGGGGCCUCCGGCUCCCUAGCUCCGCUCGGCUCACGCAGCCCAAGAUGCGCAACGGACAGGGCGCUGCGCGGGCCCCGGUGCUCCAGUUCACCAACUGCCGCAUCCUGCGUGGCCGGAAGCUGCUCAGGGAGGAUCUGUGGGUGCGCGAAGGCCGCAUUCUGGACCCAGAGAAGUUGUUCUUUGAGGAGCGGCUUGUAGCCGAUCAGCAGCGGGACUGCGGGGGCUGCAUCCUGGCGCCUGGUUUCAUUGACGUGCAGAUCAAUGGUGGAUUUGGCAUUGACUUCUCUCAGGCCACAGAAGAGGUGGGUUCCGGAGUCGCUCUGGUGGCACAGAGGAUCCUGUCACACGGAGUCACCUCUUUCUGUCCCACCUUAGUCACCUCACCACCGGAGGUUUAUCACAAGGUCCUUCCUCAGAUCCCCGUGAAGAGUGGUGGCCCCCAUGGGGCAGGGGUCCUCGGUGUGCACCUGGAGGGUCCAUUUAUCAGCCGGGAGAAGCGGGGUGCACACCCUGAGGCCCACCUGCGCUCUUUUGAGGCCAACGCCUUCCACGAUGUUCUGGCCACCUAUGGGCCCCUGGACAACGUUCGCAUUGUGACACUGGCUCCUGAACUGGGCCGUAGCCAUGAGGUGAUCCAGGCACUGACGGCUCGUGGCAUCUGUGUAUCCCUAGGGCACUCUGUGGCUGACCUACAGGCUGCGGAAGAAGCCGUGCAGAGCGGGGCUACGUUCAUUACCCACCUCUUCAACGCCAUGCUGCCUUUCCACCACCGUGACCCAGGCAUUGUGGGGCUCUUGACCAGUGACCGGCUGCCCCCAGGCCGCCAAAUCUUCUAUGGAAUGAUCUCUGAUGGCAUGCACACCAACCCUGCUGCCCUGCGUAUUGCCCACCGGGCCCAUCCCCAGGGGCUGGUGUUGGUCACCGAUGCUAUUCCUGCCCUGGGCUUGGGCAAUGGCCGUCACACGCUGGGGCAGCAGGAAGUAGAGGUAGAUGGGCUGACGGCCUACGUGGCAGGCACCAAGACACUGAGCGGCAGCAUAACCCCGAUGGACGUCUGCGUUCGGCAUUUCCUGCAGGCCACAGGUUCUCAAAUCCUUGACCAGCAAGAGGUGGUAGACAUCACCAAUUACAAAUGAGGAAGCAAGCCCAGAGACCAGAGGCUUGUCCCAGAAAAAGAAUUUAGGAUGACACAUGCGACUCAAAGGACGCUCACCAGAAGCAAACACCCCACCCGUGAGGCUCCUGGAACAAAUGUGGCUCCAAUUCACCUGAAGGGGUGCCACCAAGCUCUAGGAAUGGUGGAGAUGGGCCCCAUUCAGUUCAGCGGGUCUGGACCCUCUUAUGUCACACGGCAAGGGGACAUCCAUCUACUCAGUUUUCUCAGCUCAGCCUGUCUAUGCGCAAUGAAUGGCUGGCCCAGCUCAUCCUUCCAGAACCAUCACCACCCACUUAAGCUGACUUGCAAAAGCAGGCCAAGAUCCUGAAGGCCAUGCUGAGGAAACCAGAGCCCACCAGAACACAACUGUGGGAGAGACAGUAGGUGCAUUCCCUACUUUGAUGUCUCCCGGAUGCCUACCCCAACACCCACAAGGAUGGCAUGGGAAUUCUGGAGCAGUGUUCACCAAACUCGAAGGCACCCAGUUUCUUGCUAAGAAACCUCAGUGGCUGCCCCUCCCCCAGGGCAUAGGCUCCAAUGCCUGCUGCAGGAACUGGCCCUCCAGGGCCUGUCCUUAGACCAGCCAGGGGCUCUGAGUGGAGCUUGAAGAGGCAGCCUGGGGGGUAGGGAGGAGAGACACCAUGAGGUUUGUGUGAGCCAGUGAGGAUAUAUGAGACAAUAACAAAAUCAUAGGAGGAGGAGAUGAAAGCAUUCUUGGUAUGUUCUCUU